rnacentral:lncRNA from 10 species
GGGAGGGGGCGAGCGCGGCGGUCAGCGCCCCGGCUGGCUCAGCUCCGGCCCCGGCGCCUCUCGGCCCCUCCCUCCCAGGCAGAGCCACGCGCCCCAGGCCCCCUCCCCAGGCCCGCCCACCCUGGUGGACCGUGCGGCCAAGCACGCCCACCCCCGGACACUGGCUGCCCGGUCCCGGAUCCCCAAGGGCGACGUUUCUAUUUGGGAUCCACAACAGGUGCCUGAGAAACAAAGCCGCAGAUCGCUCCACCGCUGUGCGCAGCCCCCUGCUGAGGGGCCAGCGGCUCUCCCUGGGACCCCAGAACCUUAACACAAUUCUGAGGUGGAAGAAAUGGGGAACACCAGGCCUGGCCUCAUGGAGACCGGGGAGUCAGAACCUGAGCUCUGGCUCCUGGAGCUGCUGCGAGUGAGUGGUGGAAACCUGCCCCCUUAGAGAAGCUGCAGCUGAUCAGCAUCAUGCAAGGGACUGCUGAGAUGGUAGCAUGCUGGUAAUGAAGUGUUAUGGAGCCACUCCAUCCUUUAUUCAUCCUUUUCCUCAUACACACAGAGAGCAAAGGUGUAUAAACCAUCUUGUUCAUUGUCCCCUUUCACACAGGAGUUGUUUUGGGGAACAUAAUAGUCACGCCAUUUACACAUAUUUCUUAUAACAUUUUAUGAGCCAUGAUAUUCUACUUAAAAGCACAAAAAUAACAAUAUCCCUAUUUCUUCUGACUUCCAAUUGUCUGUAAGUAAUAAUUGUUCCCACUGCAUUUAUGAAGUAAAUUCACUCAUUCUUUCACAGUGCCCAUCACAGGGCAGUUAGAAUCCUGUGCUACAGCUGUGCAGCCCACACCCCUCUCCUCCUUAGUCAUCAUGUACACUUAGGAUCUGUGUGAAUUCCAAUCCCCUGACCUUCCUCCCCUUCACAGCUGCCCUCCUGACCCUGAAAUAUUGCUUGGGUGUUUUUUCUCCUCCCUUUCUCAACCGGGGAUUUCCAAGCCAGCCUAAUAGCUUCCUCCAACAAUAAUAAAGCAAAGAAGAAUUUUUAAAAAUGUGUAUCUGUGUCCAUAAAACAAUAUGAUGAAUUCUAUCACAAAAAACAAGCACACCAUAGAACAUAUGACUAUAUGUUCCUUUGUGCCAUCCUUCACUCUCUUCCUCAACUGGCCUUGUGUUUUUGUCCACAGCACAGGAACCAGCUACAGAAUUUGCAAGUGGAGAAUCCAGUGGGUGGGCCUUCUCCAAUCAGGCCUUAAGAGCAAAGACCAUGGUUUCUCAAAGAAAGAAUUUUCCUCAAGACUGCAACAUAGAGACCUUGCCUGAGUUUCCAGCCUGAUACCCUGAAGAAUUUGGACUCAAGACUGCAAUAUCAGCUCUUUCCUGAAUUUCUAGCCUGCUGGCCUGCCCUACAGAUUUUAGAUCUCCCAGCCCAAUUGCAUGAGCUAAUUCCUUAAAAUAAAUAAAUCUCUGUGUGUGUAUGUGUGCUGUAACUAAUAUAUCCUAUUGGUCUGUUUCUCUGGAGAACCCUAACUAACACAAUUGUCUACCAUAUUACUGCAUAAAAGACUUAUGACUCACCUUUACUACAUUUCAGGGAAGUAGAAACACCUGCCAUAAUUCACAUUUUACAGUUUUAUGGAAAGUAGGCAGGACUUUCACCAAGCUGAGUUAGGAAGCCAGAGUGCUUCACCCAGCCCCAUAAUUAACUACCCAUACUACUACACAAGAAAAUUACUUAACAUCUUUAACUUGCUCGUAUUCUAAACGUGAAUAAUCAUACCUACUUCACUAGAUAUUAGUAUUAAAAUGAAAUAAUGUAUGUAAAUCCUGUAAUAUGAUGCCUGCUCAGC